rnacentral:piRNA from 1 species
UGUGCAGGAUACAGUGUGUUUCAUCUG